AUGAAAUUGAAUGUUACUUCGAACACGUUCUUCUACAAAAUAACCGACCUGUAUUUAGUGCUAUUGCUUAAACAUCAAUCGAAGCAAAAAUGGCAUCAAUGUAUGCGUCUAAAAAUGUUAAAUUUAGAUGGAGACAAUCCAGAAAUGAGCUGCCAGGAAGUGAUCGAUUUCGGACACGAAGAUUGAGAAGUGCCUGGAUACAAGGCUAGUAUUGUUAACAUCAUCUGAUACAAUCAACUGGAACAAAGCUGAAAUGGCUGCCUGACCUGACUUAAAAAUUGGAUGGCAGUACAUCAGACUAGAAGAUUACAAGUAUUGAGGUGGACAAAAUGAAACCUGAGCCUACCAAAGCUGACAGAUUGCACAAGAAACACAUAAAUGCAGAUUGGAAGACUCAUUCUUUCCAACAUACUGUUAUCACUGCCAUGACAGAAACCAUAUUGAGGAGCUGGUCCACCUGUAGGAAGAAUUGCGCUAUUGGUUGGAGCAGCACUAUUACCCAGCCAUACACCAGCACUUAGUUUGUCAUAGGGAGCAUUUCUGAGCAGUUAUGGAGCCCACUAACUAUGCAGUUGUUGCAGUGAAACUUGCAUUAGUGUGUUUUCUGUGGAGAUAAAGAGAUAGUGUCCAGCAAUGAAGACCCAACUCAAGAUCUGACCUUGUAAGGCCAAUAUAAAAUAACUGUGUGGGAAAAUGGGAAAAACCUGCAGUCAGGAAUGCACGAAAAUCAUCAAAAGAACAGUGUUAAAUUAAUCUUGAAUAACUUGACAUUUAUUUUGUUUGACAUAUUUAUUCAUGGUGCAGUGAAAACAUUCUUUUUUUCUCAUGGUUAUUUAAAUUUAGAAUUGAUAGGAGGGAACAUCACUAUGUAGUUUCAUGUUCAUAGUCAGAUCAAAACCCAUGUACUUGCCCAAAUGAGCAUUCGAAAAUAUCAAAAUGGUACUUGUUGUAUGUAGUGUAAGUUAAUUAACAUAAUAAACAAAAAUAUUUAA